rnacentral:rRNA from 1 species
GACGAACGCUGGCGGCGUGCUUAACACAUGCAAGUCGAACGGGGUCCAUCGGUCGCAAGACCAGAGAAGACCGAGUGGCGAACGGGUGCGUAACACGUGAGAAACCUGUCCCGGUCUCUGGAAUAACAGUCGGAAACGACUGCUAAUACCGGAUGCCGUCGGAGCGUCGCAUGGCGCGCUGACGAAAGGGCUACCGGAUCGGGAGGGUCUCGCGGCCUAUCAGCUUGUUGGUGAGGUAACGGCUCACCAAGGCAUCGACGGGUAGCUGGUCUGAGAGGAUGAUCAGCCACACUGGGACUGAGACACGGCCCAGACUCCUACGGGAGGCAGCAGUGGGGAAUCUUGCACAAUGGGCGAAAGCCUGAUGCAGCAACGCCGCGUGCGGGAUGAAGGCCCUAGGGUUGUAAACCGCUUUCAGCAGGGAAGAAAAUGACGGUACCUGUAGAAGAA